AAGUCGUAACAAGGUUUCCGUAGGUGAACCUGCGGAAGGAUCAUUACCAAUAUCCAAAAUAUUCAAACCCAUGUGAACGAUGGAAAUGUCUUGGUUCUUGGGGUGGGCUUUCACGAGUUCACCCCAGCCAACUUUGCUAAACUACUUUUUAAUUGUCAUGGAAUUAUUACUUGUCUAAACAAAAAUUAUGACAACUUUUAACGGUGGAUCUCUUGGCUCGUGGAUCGAU
rnacentral:misc_RNA from 1 species